rnacentral:rRNA from 1 species
UGGGGAAUAUUGCACAAUGGGCGCAAGCCUGAUGCAGCCAUGCCGCGUGUGUGAAGAAGGCCUUCGGGUUGUAAAGCACUUUCAGCGAGGAGGAAGGGUAGUGUGUUAAUAGCACAUUGCAUUGACGUUACUCGCAGAAGAAGCACCGGCUAACUCCGUGCCAGCAGCCGCGGUAAUACGGAGGUGCAAGCGUUAAUCGGAAUUACUGGGCGUAAAGCGCACGCAGGCGGUUUGUUAAGUCAGAUGUGAAAUCCCCGCGCUUAACGUGGAACUGCAUUGAAACUGG